GACGAACGCUGGCGGCGUGCUUAACACAUGCAAGUCGAGCGGAAAGGCCCUUCGGGGUACUCGAGCGGCGAACGGGUGAGUAACACGUGAGCAACCUGCCCCAUGCUUUGGGAUAACCCUCGGAAACGGGGGCUAAUACCGAAUAUUCACUGAUGAUCGCAUGUUUGUUGGUGGAAAGUUUUUCGGCGUGGGAUGGGCUCGCGGCCUAUCAGCUUGUUGGUGGGGUGAUGGCCUACCAAGGCGA
rnacentral:rRNA from 1 species